rnacentral:lncRNA from 1 species
CUCUUAGCCAAUCACACGGCUAAGCGGCAGCGACGGCGUGAGGUGCGGCCUCUUGAGGCAGAGGAGUGGGGCGGGCUGUGUGACGGGCUUCGGCCACAGCCAAUCGUAAGUGAAGACGGCGAGCGGGGUGCCCCUGCGUCAGAACAAAUGCGGCAAAUCGCUUGGGAGGGAGGGGAAGCGCUCCUCCACCAGCGGGCAUUUUUGCGCUCACGCGCGACUGCUCCAGGCUGUCAUUGCUCUCCUGACCGUCUACGAGAAGACUGGGAAACUUGAGAGGGUGCGUUCAGAGAGCAAAAUAGAGCGCCCCUUCCCUUCCCUCACCUCUCUGCUGGCCAAUGAAGAACUGAAGCGAUUGGUGGGGCGCCGGAGGGCUGGGGCGCGAAAGAGCGCCAGGUGUUACACCACUGAAAGGGGGCGCAGCAGAGGUCAGGUGGCGAGCAAGCAGUGUGAUUGACGGGCGAGGGGCCCGGGGAAGGCGAGAAGGUGAGCUCGUCCAAUCGUUGCGAGGUCUGGACACCUGGGCGGGUCUUGGCGCCUUACUGGCCCCAAACCGCAAAAUUGGUAGUUGCGGAAUAAAUUUGUAGCUCUUGGGAGGUUCGGACUCCGCAACUCCAGAGAGCUACUCUCGCGUGGGGUUUGGGCAGUCUAGCAUCUGCUGCUUCAAAGAGUUCUGCAAGUCCACGCCCUCUAAAAAGAGAUUUCUCAUUCCCAAUUUAGUAUCCUGCUAAUUUUCACCCCUCCUUGAGCCAAAGGCCCUCAACUACUCCAACGAGAAGAGUACAAAUUCAUUGGUCAGUGGUGUGUGGAUAUGGAGGCUUGCCAUGUACUCUUACCGGAAUCUCUUUCUUGGAGAUUCCGUCUAGAUUUUGAAUUUCUUAAGGACGAGGACUGGUCAUCUUAGUUUUUCGUGCAGUGCUUUCCAUACGGUGGCCGUUAAUAAUUAUUAAUCUGAACAGUCAGCCUCCCUUUGCGCCAAUGGACCCAAAUCUGUAAUCCCCUCCCUCGAGCUCCA